rnacentral:rRNA from 1 species
UACGUAGGGUGCAAGCGUUGUCCGGAAUUAUUGGGCGUAAAGAGCUCGUAGGCGGUCUGUCGCGUCGGCUGUGAAAUCUCGGGGCUCAACCCCGAGCCUGCAGUCGAUACGGGCAGACUAGAGUGCUGUAGGGGAGACUGGAAUUCCUGGUGUAGCGGUGAAAUGCGCAGAUAUCGGGAAGAACACCCGUGGCGAAGGCGGUUCUCUGGGACGGUACUGACGCUGAGACGCGAAAGCGUGGGGAGCGAACAGG